CAGCGUAGGGGACGAGCGUUGUCCGGAAUCAUUGGGCGUAGAGCGCACGUAGGCGGCCCUGUAAGUCCGUUGUGAAAGUCAAAGGGCUCAACCCUUUGGAAUGCCGAUGGAUACUGCAGGGCUAGAGUCCGGAAGAGGCGAGUGGAAUUCCUGGUGUAGCGGUGGAAUGCGCAGAUAUCAGGAGGAACACCAAUAGCGAAGGCAGCUCGCUGGACGGUACUGACGCUAAGGUGCGAAGCGUGGGAGCGACAGG
rnacentral:rRNA from 1 species